rnacentral:rRNA from 1 species
AUUGAACGCUAGCGGGAUGCUUUACACAUGCAAGUCGAACGGAGUGGCGGACGGGUGAGUAAUAUAUCGGAACGUGCCAAGUAGCGGGGGAUAACUACUCGAAAGAGUGGAUAAUACCGCAUACUAAUGGAGGGGCAGAUAUCGGAUUAGCGUGGUGGUGGGGAAAAGGCUCACCAAGGCAACGAUCCGUAGCUGGUCUGAGAGGACGACCAGCCACACUGGGACUGAGACACGGCCCAGACUCCUACGGGAGGCAGCAGUGGGGAAUUUUGGACAAUGGGGGAAACCCUGAUCCAGCCAUCCCGCGUGUAUGAUGAAGGCCUUCGGGUUGUAAAGUACUUUUGGCGGAGAAGCGUUAUCUGCAGAAUAAGCACCGGCUAACUACGUGCCAGCAGCCGCGGUAAUAC